rnacentral:rRNA from 1 species
AGAACGAACGCUGGCGGCAUGCCUAACACAUGCAAGUCGAACGCUUCCGGGGCUUCGGUCGCGGAGGAGUGGCGCACGGGUGAGUAGCGCGUGGGAACCUGCCCUGUUGUGGGGGAUAACCGAGGGAAACUUCGGCUAAUACCGCAUACGCCCCGGGACUUGGUCUUCGGAUUAGGUCUGGGGGGAAAGAUUGAUCGCAGCAGGAGGGGCCCGCGUCGGAUUAGCUGGUUGGUGGGGUAACGGCUCACCAAGGCGAUGAUCCGUAGCUGGUCUGAGAGGAUGAUCAGCCACACUGGGACUGAGACACGGCCCAGACUCCUACGGGAGGCAGCAGUGGGGAAUAUUGGACAAUGGGGGCAACCCCGAUCCAGCAAUGCCGCGUGAGUGAUGAAGGCCUUAGGGUUGUAAAGCUCUUUCGCCCGCGACGAUGAUGACGGUAGCGGGAGAAGAAGCCCGGCUAACUUCGUGCCAGCAGCCGC